rnacentral:lncRNA from 1 species
CUGCUGGCACACAAACCCUCCUGCCUCUAAACAGAAAUUGAUGGGCCCCUUGGCAAAGGCAGGUUUUAGAAGCUCCUCGGGGGCUGGAGCGCAAGGAGAGUCUGAGCCAGGCCAAGCCUCCUGGGGGAACAUGGCUGAAGGAAGACAUACAGACAUCUCCCCGGGGUGGGAGCCUGCGUUCAGAAGCAGCAGAUCCAAGUCUCUGUGUGGCUGAGGAGAGGACAUCCUGCUGGCAACACG